rnacentral:tRNA from 2 species
AGCGUAUACAAAAAACUAUUGCGUUUGACUGGCAGUCAAAAGGCCACGGGUUCGAAUCCCGUAUUCUCCA